CUUGAUCCAGUUCCAACUGCCCCUCGUAAAACAGUCGCUAACUCUAUAGUUCUUCCCCUCGGACAUGAGAUAAGCAUCCGGGAACAAAAGGUUUAACGUUUUCUCCCCACACCACCUAUCCAGCCAGAAGUCGACGGUAUUCCCAUUUCCUAGUUUAAAAGCCACUCCCCAUUUAAAGAUGGUGGUGCAACUAAGAAUGCCCUUCCACCAGCUAGAAUAGGGUCCGAACGAUCUACCUUUCCGCAGUGGUUUUCUUCUACGAUAGUACAAAUCCGGGAUUAACUUAUUCCACUGAAGUUCGGGGGCAGUUGGUAAUCCCGGAUUAACUUAUUCCACUAAGUUUAUGUUAUUGGUAAUUGUAUGGUGUCCCCUUUUUCUCUGUAAGGAUCGAUUCAGCGAAAGAUCAUCUCAGAACAAGAAAUGUGUAUAUUAAUUUUUUAUUAAAACGAUAUUAGGAAUAGAAUUUUUAUAGCCGGGUUGAAAUAAAGGAUGCACUUUUGGGACUUGAUUGGUUCAUCUAUUUUGGAGUAUGAAAUAGAAAAAAGAUUCAGUGAUUCCGAUAGCUAUUGUUUGUUUUAUAGAAGUCAAAUUUUGAUUUUCCUUUCGCUCUGAAAUGGAAUUGAUCCAAUCUAGACCCAUUUCAAAAUAAAUCACUCAAAGCCUUCUCUCACAAACAUCUCUCGCUUCUCUACUUUCAUCGCUCAUCUUUCUCUUAACCAAAAUUCUCUUUCAAAAUUUUAGAUAUUCUGAGGCGAUAUUAUGCUAUCAUCCUCUCAAGAAAAAGAAAAAAAAAAUGAAUGUCCAUUGCAAUUUUUAUUUUAAUAAUGAAUCAAUUAUUUUUGACUGAUUUGUCAUUCUAUAUUUGAUUUUUGUCUCAAUUAUGAACCAAUCAUAUUCUUUUAAUUGUUGUUUUUUUUUAAGAGAUAGGUUAUCCGCUUCGUUUAUUUAAUUUAACUAGGAUUCGAACUUAAAAUUUCAAGUAUCAAUUAUUAAAUUUUUUGCCACUUGCACUAGAACGGUCAAUAGUUUUAAUUGUU
rnacentral:lncRNA from 1 species